UACGGAGGGAGCUAGCGUUGUUCGGCAUUACUGGGCGUAAAGCGUACGUGGGCGGUUAUUCAAGUCAGGGGUGAAAGCCCGGGGCUCAACCCCGGAACGGCCUUUGAAACUAGAUAGCUAGAGUCUUGGAGAGGUUAGUGGAAUUCCGAGUGUAGAGGUGAAAUGCGUAGAUAUGCGGAAGAACACCAGUGGCGAAGGCGACUAACUGGACAAGUACUGACGCUGAGGUACGAAAGCGUGGGGAGCAAACAGG
rnacentral:rRNA from 1 species